GUAAACACAGCUUUCAGAGAAACCAAGAAAGGCUUGUGGUUGCAGCCACAACCUCAAGAGCUCUAGGGGUAACGACCUGGCUGCCAGUGUAUAAGAAGUAAAUACACUUAAUAGUUUCAAUUCCAGAACACAUUUGAAAGUUGGACUAAGCCGGCUGGGUAAACCAGGAACCUUUGGAAAAGAUAGAACUGACAAUAUCGAGUGAAAGUACAAAACCGGUAAUGUUUAUUUAAAUAAAUUAAUUUCAAAAUGAAAGCGUUGCAAUCCUAAUAUAAAACCCAAGUCAAACCGGAUAGGAUCUCCCAAGCCUGCAGAUAAUGUCUGUAAUGUACAAGCACAUCUGGUACACAUCUGGCAACUAUAGUUAGGGACCAUUUGUCAAUUUGUACAGGCACCAAUAUUGGGCAAAAGUGUUCGUUUUGACUAAAAAAUAAAAAAUACAUGUGCCUUUUAUAUCAUUGAGUGAGAUGGGUACUUGUGAAGUAUUCUUGCAAAUCCCACGAUUCCAGAAUAACCCUGAGAGAAACAUGACACAAAACACACAGACAGCUGAGGGACAUCAUACAAAAUACUUGACUGGUCUUAGAACCAAGGCCAUGAAAUCUGAGGAAUUCUCAUAGCCAGAAGGAAUCAGAGGACACAUACCAUCAAAUAUAAGACAUUAGAGGGAAACAAUAGGAAUUGAGUACAGAAUUUAGUUAGGAAAAAAUACAUUAGUAGGAUAAACCAAUUGACUAGAAAGAGAAAGUGUGUAUUUUAGCUCAGUUUUUGUGUUCCGGGGGACUGUUCAAUUAGAAAACAAAGACUAACUUAGAAUCGUCUUUGAGGUCCUGGGUUCAGUCUUAAGUACCAUAAACCAAAAACCAAUUGUGGAUACUUUUUAUUUAUACCUACAUACUUUUUAUUAUAUUGUAUGUAUGUAUGUACUUUAGGAAAUAGUCUCUCACUGUGUAGCUCGGUCUCAAAUUCUCCAUCUUCCUGCUUCAACAUCCUGAGUAGCUAGGAUUACAGGUAUGUGCUACCAUGCAUGGCUCCAUACUAUGCCUUUAAAUUAGUAAAGGGAAAAAUGUAAUCUUCAUUAUUAUUUUUUUUUAUUUCUUCAUCUUGCACCUAGAAGGUGGUGGUGGAAGGCACCUCUUGCUUUUGUUGAACAGAUAAUUUUGAAACUCUUAUGCUGUAUACUAUUAUAGAUAACUGAAGCCACAGUGGUUUUAAAAUCUAUUCUCAGGCCAGAUAGAUGGAGUGUGCCUAUAAUCCCAGCCUGAGCUUCUAAGCUCCCAUACAAUAAAGUAAAACCAGCUUCCCAUAAUCUUUUGUCAGAUCUACUUAACGACCAACAGAAUUGAUAACCAUCACAUAACAGAAAUGGAAGAGGAGAGAAAAAGGUGAUUUGUAAGAACUGGAAGGUUAAGUUCUUAGAUUAAAGGAACUAAACCUUACCAUUUCUUCUACUGUAACUAACUAUGCUUCCUUAGAAGACUAUCUUUAUAAUCGACAGGUGGUAGCAUUUCUAGAAAGUCCAAGCUUCAGGGAAGCUAAAUUCUAGUUGUAGAUCUUUGACGGAGCCGUUUGGGGACCUGCUGGCUUUGAGUUUCCCUUUAAAGGACCUUCUCAAUAAAUGGGCCCACUAGAACCCUGGAGGGCUGGGGAGUGUCCUCUGAGAACACAGGCUCAGGAUUCAACUACCUGGCUUCUUUAUUGUACCUCUGAAUGAGGUAAAUAGGACCUGGGUCGCACUCUGUUUCACAGGACAUUUGUUCAGCACCCCAGAAGAGACCACAACUUAAUAUGCUCAACUCCCUUGCUUUAUUCUUUAUAUGUUAUGGUAUUUGCACAUAACUUAUGACAUCAUGUUUGUAUUUUUUUAACUUAUAUUUAUACUUCCAAUGAUCUGUUAGUAACUUGUAAAACUUUAAAUGUCAUGUAAACAGUUGUUACACUUUAUUGUUUAAGGGACUAAGGUCAAGAAGAAGUUCAAACAUGUUCAGUACGGGCUUUCUGUUCGUCUUUUUGAGACAGAUUACCAUGUGUGCCAGGCUGUCUACCUUGCACUUCUGCUCCUCCUGCCUCCACUUCCCACGUGCUAGGAUUACAAUUCUGUGCUACAAUGCCCUGUUUAAGCAGUGUUGGGGGCUCAAAUUGAGGUUUUAUGCAUGGUCGACAGCCCUCUACCAGCUGAGCUAUAUCCCUGUCUCCUCAGAUGUAUUCUUCAAAAGCCUUGUUUGAGUCCUUCCCUUUAUGGGAAGUGGGGUUGCCUGCAGAAGAACAGGUAACCUGCAGCUGGGAAGGUAUGUGUGUUACCAGCUUUUGUUAGUUUGUUGCUGCUGUGGAAAUAGCAGAGAGAAACAAGGUUUAUUUUAACUCACAGUUUCAGAAGUUUCUGUUUGUUGCUUUUGGCCUGUGGCAAAUAGCAUACUAUGGGUGUUGGGACAUGUAGUGACUGAAGCCUUAGGUGAUUGUUGACUCAGGCAGCCAGGAAACAGAGGAAGAAGAGUGAGUGCCACCGCCUCUCUAAAGGCGUGUACCAAAUAAUUCAACUUCCUUUCACUAAGCCCCUUCUCCUAAAGGUUGUAUUUUCUUCCAGUUGCACCAUGAACUCGUAACCAAACUUCCAUAUAUUAUCCUUUGGUGGACAUUUAAGAGCUAAAGCAUAAAAGUAUCUAAAUAGUAACCAGAUAUUCCCCCAAAAUAAGGUUAUUUAUUUCUGGCUGUUAAAGAACAUUGGGACUGGGCAUGCCAUAGUAAACCCCCAAAAUAUUCAAGGAGAUGUGAGGCAAGGGGUGGGCAGUUUAAGGCAGAAAGGGAAAAUUUACAUAUAGUACAGACUUCAUUGGUCUUGGAGACUUGGGCAAGUGUCUAUGUCACCUCAUUGGUAGAGGGGUUCUUGCUGGCAGUGCCCUGCCUGGAGAAUCUUCUCUGAAUUGAGGUGGUCUUAAAGAAUGUUGAAAAUAAACUAUACUGUCUGUGUGUGGUGGCACAUGCUUGUAAUCCUAGCACAUAGGAGGCUGGGCCAGAGAGAUUAUUUGAAGCCAGCUAGGGCUACACAGUUCAUGGGUAGACUGGGCUGUGUAGCAUGACCUAUAUCAAAAGGCCAAAUACAUAAAUGAUUAAGAAAAGAAAAGAAGUAUUAUCACCCAAGUUUGUGAGGAAGAAUCUCUGGUGGGACUUAGGAAAGUCUUUAAGAAAGCACUCACCUCAAGCAGGUAGGCAUGAGCCAACUCCAGCUUUCUUUCUAAGUCUGAUAAGAACAAAUUCUUUUUAGUAUCCACAGCUUUUGUAGUGAUAGCCACUUAAAGGAGGGGCCGAGACUGGUUGUUGGUGAGAGGCUGUUCAUGGAUGGUAAUAGGGAGGGACCAGGGCUGCCUGGAGACCAGGCUCAGAAAAGUUGGUUAUUCAGAACUGGUUGAGGGUGUUUCCUAAUUAGUUACUGAACUCUAUGCUUGAUGCUGUCGACCAGGAAGAAUUGGCUAAACAUUUCAAAUUUCCUUUUCAGAAAUAAGCCCAAGACAAGAUUCUACCUUACAUUCACAGGGAUAACUGUCAGUGAGGAAACACAAAGCAAGCACUGGCACAGAGUUAGGGAACUUAAAACCCUCCUGUAGUGCUAGAGGGGAUGUAAAACGAUACAGCUGCUUCGGAAAGUAGCAUGUUUGUUCCUCAAAGUGUUAAAUAUAGAAUUACCAUCUGACCCAGAAGUUCGACUUCUUGGAUUAUGCAAAGGCCUGAAAUACUGCAGCCAUACCUAAAUGACGUGGGAGCAGGCAGAUUGAGGGAUUAUGCAUUUUUAGUUUUAAAAGCAUUGUCCACAGAGCCAACAGAUGGCAGUGACUCGAUCCAUUAACUGAUGAUGGUGUGCUAGUGAGUUUUCUGCUUCUGUAACAAAUACCUGUGAUGAUUUCAUAAGAAAAUGUUUACCUCGACUCAAACUUUUGGAAGUUUCAUUUCAAGUACCUCAAGCAGUAGCUUGGAAGAGAGAGAUGGAGGAAAGAAGGACCCAGACUUCCAAGGUCUCCUUCAAGUAUGUGACUGAAUGAUUUAAGAUCGUCUGUUAGCCCUGGGUGUUACAGGUUCUGCUACCUCCCAGCUGUGACGAGCUGGGGACUAAGCCUUGAGCAUGUGGCUCUUUGGAAAAUAUUCUAGAUCCGAACUUUAGCAGAUGGCAAAACAUGCCUUUUUAAGGCUGAAUAGCAUUCAGUCCCUAAUAGGAAGGAAAUUUUGAUAUGUUAAAACAUAGAUGAAUCUGAGGACAUGCUGCUAAGUGAAAUAAGCCUGUCCUGAAAGGCCACCACCACUCGAUGCCCUUUAUACGAGGUCCCCAGAGCAGCUCAAAUGGGUGGGCAGAUGGAGAGAUGUUAAUGGUUACCCGCUAGAGCGGAGUAAAAGAGGAAUGGAGAGUAGUGUUUUACAGGCGCAGAGCUGAACCUUUCCGGGACAGCAGCAUUUUAGUGACGAGUUAUUAUCAUUGUUACUGUGAGCAUCUGUCUGGCAGGAAGCACCAUGAGGGAGGACGGCUUCAUUUGGGCCCACGGUUUAAGGAGAUGUAGUCUGUUGUCCCAGGGAGGGCAGAGACAGAGGGAGGUGGCUGUUUAGCUUUGGGAGUGUGUGUCAGCUGUGUUGUAGUUUAUGUGAAAUGUCCCCCUGUGGUCACAUGUGUUCAUUUGGUUGCCUGAUGGUGGUAGCACAGGGAAGGUUUCAGACCCUUUAGAAGGUGGAGUCUCUCUGGAGGGAGUAAGGCACUGGAGGGCAAGCCUUGAGAUUUUAUAGUAGAGCCUACUUUCUGUUUCUUCUCUGCUUGCCAUCUUGGGUGAGAUGUGACCAGCUGGCCUUCUGCUCUUCGUAGUGCUCCCUGUUGGAGGGACAGCGUCCCAUUGAACUAUAACCGUAGACCAAGAUAAACUUUUCCUCCCUUAAAUUGCUUCUUGUCGGGUUGGGGAUUUAGCUCAGCGGUAGAGCGCUUGCCUAGCGAGCCUUGGCUCCCUCUGGACCACAGCUCUGUGUGCUGGCCCCGAGGAAACAUUCCUAGACUUAAUUAUCCUCAGCGGCGCUGGUGUCUUCUUAACCACAGCUGGUUCUUCAGUCCCAACUGAAUAGAACUCCAGAUUCUUAGUUCAGAAUAUCACAUGAAUGGCCUGGAGAGAAAGUCUUUGCUUCCUUCUGAAACUUCAAAAGCCAGGCAUCAAUCAUGUGCAUCUCUUUCAACAUUCCUAUCUUUCAAGCUCCCACCCAUUAAGCUCUGAAUGGCCUCUCAGCCCAAAGUUACAAAUUCUAUCCACUAUCCUUCCAAAACCAACAUGGUCAUAGGACUGGCACAGCAAAAAAGCUGGAGACAGGAACGGAGGCAGACGCCAUUGAAGAAUGCUGCAUAUUGGCUUGCUCAGCUUUUGUUCUUAGAUAGCCUGGGACCACCUCUGCCCAGAAGUGGCACCAUCCACAAUGGACUGGGCUUUCCCCUUUCAGUCAUCCAUCAAGAACGUGCCCUACAGACUUGCCUACAAGCAAUGGGAUGGAGGUAUUUGUCUCAUUUGAGAUGCCUCUUCCCAGAUGAUUCUAUCUUGUGUCCACUUGACAAACAAACAACACCUAGGACAACUGCUACUGGAACAAACAGAAAAUUUCAAAAUUUCUGUGUCUUCCUAUCCUUGUCCUGGUCAGAGAAUCUGUACAGUGAUAGAGGAUAAGACUCACCUAGGAAGAGGAAUGUGGGUAAGGCUUGAAGAAGUAAUUCUGAGGGUGUGACUCUUACUGUGACCAGGAGCUUUAGGAACAGUUACAUUUGAGGGUGAAACUGAAGGAAUCCAGUAGUUUUAGAACAAGACAGGAAGUGCAGGCCCCCUGUGGCCGUCAAUGAAGGAGGAGGAAGGAAUUUGGGUAGUGACUUAGAAGGGAACCAAGCACAGAUGGGUGGAUGUACAAAGCUGUGCAUACAUUUCACUCUUCUCUGGGAUAUGGGCUUUACCAGCCGUGAGAAUGGGACGUGUGGGAUGCAGAAGAGUUCAUACUCAGGGAAAGUUUGUCAUCAGGCUCAUGUGAAGAAAAGGCAUGUAAAUAUGAUAUUUGGUUUAAAAGGUGAGAAUGACCUAAAUUCCAGUGAAAGCUCCAACUGAGACAAAUAAGUAGAAAGGCUUGGAAUGCUGGCAAUUUAGUAGAACCCUUUGUUACAGGCAGCAAAAGCCUGUUACUGACUUAUUUCUAGGUACUUGGUAUCCCAGUUUUCUCCCUACUUCGGUAAUAGCACCAUUUUUGAAUCAUCGUUAACAGCAUUUACUCUCUGAAGGUCACUGAUGUUGAGAAUACCAGCGUAGAGAAAAGGGAGAGCCCAGGGAACCAUUGCCCUGGCCACUGACAACACUGGACCAGUUCUCAUUAUAGAAAGAUCUUAUGGUUUGAGUGUUAAGUGUCCCCCAUCAGUUCAUAUGUUUGGACACCCGGUCACCAGCUUUUGAUGCUGUUUUGGGAUAUUCUGAAACCUUUAGGAAGUAGGCCCUUGCUGGCAGGGGCUACUGGGGGCAGGUCUUGUGUUUUGUAGCCUGGUCCCACUUCUGUCCACUCCCUGCUUUCUGUGCAGACACAGUGUGACCAGCUAGCUUGAACUACAGCUGCUAUGCUUUCCUACUUAUGUGAACUGUGUCCCUCCCUAAACGGAGAAUCAGAUUAAAGCUUUCCUCAGUUUGUGUCUGUUUCAGUGAUAAACAGGACCAUUCGGUUCUUAGUCUUGCAGAACUGAUUUGCGUGUGGAAUGUCAAGGACUUUGAGUCUGCAGGCCAGUGACUCUCUAGAAUGCAAUAGAUCAAACUCAACAGGUCAUUUUUGUUAGACCUAUUAGAUAAGUUAGAAGCCCAGGAUACUCAAAGAAAAAUAUACAUAGACACCUAGCUCCUCAACUUUCAGAGGGGACUAUAUUCUCCUGGGAACUGAGCUAGAAAUAAUUUGUGUUACAUUCAGGCAAAGAAACUGGAAACAUUCUACCCAUGUCCUAAGAAUUUGAGUGUGACUGAAUUAAAAAAUAAUGGAAUAACUUGUUUGGCAGAGGAAAUUAAAGAUAUUUAGGCUGUAAUGGUUACCGAUGAGUGUUCUUUCCCAGGUCUAGAGUGAGCAAAUAGAGCAGAAGAUUAUGUGUAGUGAAUGGGUAUGUGCUAGGUUUAUGUGCUAGGAAAGGAGUAAGACUUUAAAGUCAAGGUGAAUUUAAAAGCAUCUGUGGUUGAGUUAACUACAUUGGAGUUUAGCAUCAUUAAAGAGGAACUGGCUACUACACACCAGGAUAAUAAGAAGAGGUUCUCAGAGGACAAGACUCUACUUAUAGAAGACUGAUUUGGGUCUUUUUAGGAGAAGACCUGGGAGCCUCAAAAGAUCAAAGAGUUUAGGAUUUAAAUAGUAUUUUGGUCUGAGCUUUCCCUAAGGACUAUAUGUUAAAACAUUAUCUACAUAUUGUACAAUGGCUCCUUGUAGCCAAAUUGGGUCCCAGUGAUCUUUUUCUAGUGCUGUAGUGGAGAUAUGGUGGCUGUCCCUGAGUUUUUGAGGGAGGACAGGGUAAUUCAGCUACUUCUACCCUUCUGUUAAUGAUUGCUUACUGAGUAUAUUCGUAUAUUCAGUAUAUAUAGAACAUAUACUUACUCUUUGCCAGUUGGUAGGCUUCUAAAGGGCAAUUGUUUCUUGUG